GUGGGGAAUAUUGGACAAUGGGCGAAAGCCUGAUCCAGCCAUGCCACGUGUGUGAAGAAGGUCUUCGGAUUGUAAAGCACUUUAAGUUGGGAGGAAGGGCAGUAAGUUAAUACCUUGCUGUUUUGACGUUACCGACAGAAUAAGCACCGGCUAACUUCGUGCCAGCAGCCGCGGUAAUACGAAGGGUGCAAGCGUUAAUCGGAAUUACUGGGCGUAAAGCGCGCGUAGGUGGUUUUGUAAGUUGGAGGUGAAAUCCCCGGGCUCAACCUGGGAACUGCCUCCAAAACUGCAUGGCUAGAGUACGGUAGAGGGUAGUGGAAUUUCCUGUGUAGCGGUGAAAUGCGUAGAUAUAGGAAGGAACACCAGUGGCGAAGGCGACUACCUGGACUGAUACUGACACUGAGGUGCGAAAGCGUGGGGAGCAAACAGGAUUAGAUACCCUAGUAGUCC
rnacentral:rRNA from 1 species